rnacentral:rRNA from 1 species
UACAGAGGUGGCAAGCGUUGUUCGGAAUUACUGGGCGUAAAGGGCGCGUAGGCGGUCUUGUAAGUCUUGUGUGAAAUCCCUCGGCUCAACUGAGGAACUGCACGAGAUACUGCGAGACUUGAGUUCGGGAGAGGAAAGCGGAAUUCCGGGUGUAGCGGUGAAAUGCGUAGAUAUCCGGAGGAACACCGGUGGCGAAGGCGGCUUUCUGGACCGACACUGACGCUGAGGCGCGAAAGCUAGGGGAGCAAACGGG